GCAUAUCAAUAAGCGGAGGAAAAGAAACCAACCGGGAUUGCCUUAGUAACGGCGAGUGAAGCGGCAAAAGCUCAAAUUUGAAAUCUGGUACCUUCGGUGCCCGAGUUGUAAUUUGGAGAGGGCAACUUUGGGGCCGUUCCUUGUCUAUGUUCCUUGGAACAGGACGUCAUAGAGGGUGAGAAUCCCGUGUGGCGAGGAGUGCGGUUCUUCGUAAAGUGCCUUCGAAGAGUCGAGUUGUUUGGGAAUGCAGCUCUAAGUGGGUGGUAAAUUCCAUCUAAAGCUAAAUAUUGGCGAGAGACCGAUAGCGAACAAGUACAGUGAUGGAAAGAUGAAAAGAACUUUGAAAAGAGAGUGAAAAAGUACGUGAAAUUGUUGAAAGGGAAGGGCAUUUGAUCAGACAUGGUGUUUUGUGCCCUCUGCUCCUUGUGGGUAGGGGAAUCUCGCAUUUCACUGGGCCAGCAUCAGUUUUGGUGGCAGGAUAAAUCCAUAGGAAUGUAGCUUGCCUCGGUAAGUAUUAUAGCCUGUGGGAAUACUGCCAGCUGGGACUGAGGACUGCGACGUAAGUCAAGGAUGCUGGCAUAAUGGUUAUAUGCCGCCCGUCUUGAAACACGGACC
rnacentral:rRNA from 1 species